GAUGAACGCUGGCGGCGUGCCUAAUACAUGCAAGUCGAGCGAACGGACGAGAAGCUUGCUUCUCUGAUGUUAGCGGCGGACGGGUGAGUAACACGUGGAUAACCUACCUAUAAGACUGGGAUAACUUCGGGAAACCGGAGCUAAGACCGGAUAAUAUUUUGAACCGCAUGGUUCAAAAGUGAAAGACGGUCUUGCUGUCACUUAUAGAUGGAUCCGCGCUGCAUUAGCUAGUUGGUAAGGUAACGGCUUACCAAGGCAACGAUGCAUAGCCGACCUGAGAGGGUGAUCGGCCACACUGGACCUGAGACACGGUCCAGACUCCUACGGGAGGCAGCAGUAGGGAAUCUUCCGCAAUGGGCGAAAGCCUGACGGAGCAACGCCGCGUGAGUGAUGAAGGUCUUCGGAUCGUAAAACUCUGUUAUUAGGGAAGACCAUAUGUGUAAGUAACUGUGCACAUCUUGACGGUACCUAAUCAGAAAGCUACGGCUAACUCCGUG
rnacentral:rRNA from 1 species